UACAGAGGUCUCAAGCGUUGUUCGGAUUCAUUGGGCGUAAAGAGCUCGUAGGCGGUGUGUCGCGUCGGCCGUGAAAACCUGUGGCUUAACUAUGGGCUUGCGGUCGAUACGGGCAUCACUGGAGUUCGGCAGGGGAGACUGGAAUUCCUGGUGUAGCGGUGAAAUGCGCAGAUAUCAGGAGGAACACCGGUGGCGAAGGCGGGUCUCUGGGCCGAUACUGACGCUGAGGAGCGAAAGCGUGGGGAGCGAACAGG
rnacentral:rRNA from 1 species